UCGGGAAUUUUGCCCAAUGGACGAAAGUCUGAGGCAGCAACUCCGCGUGAGGGAUGAAGGCCUUCGGGUCGUAAACCUCUUUUCCCAGGGAAGAUCCAAGACGGUACCUGGGGAAUAAGCCACGGCUAACUACGUGCCAGCAGCCGCGGUAAUACGUAGGUGGCGAGCGUUGUCCGGAUUUACUGGGCGUAAAGCGCGCGCAGGCGGCCGGCCAAGUCCGAUGUGAAAUCUUCCGGCUUAACUGGAAAACGGCAUCGGAUACUGGUCGGCUGGAAGGUGGGAGAGGGUAGCGGAAUUCCCGGUGUAGUGGUGAAAUGCGUAGAUAUCGGGAGGAACACCAGUGGCGAAAGCGGCUACCUGGCCCACUCUUGACGCUGAGGCGCGAAAGCUAGGGGAGCGAACGGG
rnacentral:rRNA from 1 species